ACACCUAAGAAAAUUACAAUAACAUUCUUCAUACAGAUAGAAUAAUAAUCCUAAGUAUCAUAUAGAAACAUAAAUAUCUCUGAAUAGACAAAGCAAUGAUGAACAAUACCUACUGCGAUGGAGGCAUCAGAGCAUUUAUUUAAUUUAUCUUAUACUUAAUUUAUAUUGUAUAAUCUGACAUUACAGAUAUGUAUUCUGAAGUCAAAGAUGCAGACAUCAAAGUGCAUGGAAGGUAAAAAUAGGUCAUCAAAAUUGUAUCCCUACCUUUUCUGUGACAAUGCAGAAUAAGGAGAAAAAUUAAAUAUCUUUGUGUUUACUUUUUACAUUUUCUUAAAUUUUUAAAUGCUUGUCUUCACUCUCUUUUAAAAAUCUGUGUUGGAUGUAUAUGUCGAUGCUGUGGUAUUAAACCAACCAUUACAGCAGUUCAAGAAUUUACUGUAACUUGACUGAUAUUUAGUGUAAGAAAUAUUAAAAGGCUGUAUAUGAUGAUAAUGUGUGGAAAUUCAUUACAUUUGUUGUAAGGUCUUUUACAUAUGUGUAUACAUAGCAGACAACUUGUUAACAUGGAUUAUUUCUGAGUACUAUGAUGUAGAGGUCUGCUAAUUUAAUUUUUACCUUGGUAUUAAUUUUAAUUUUUUUAUUCAUGUUUUUGUUUUAUGUGUAUUGGUAUUUUGUCUGAAUAUGUAAUUACUGUACACCAUGUGCAUGCAUUAUCACAGAAGGCCAGAAAAAAAAUGUAAUAUUGCUUCAUGAUUCUGUUCUGAAAAUAAAAUAUUAUUUCUUACUUGUAUU
rnacentral:lncRNA from 1 species